ensembl:misc_RNA
CUGCCCCAGACAAAGGAUGCGCUUGGAUCCAGCUUCACCUAAAACCACAUUUUAAAGGAUCUGCCAAGCUCACUUGUAAUCAUGAGAAAGAAAUUACCCACAUGGACAAAGCAGAAAAUGAGAAAGUAGAGCUCGUGCUGCGAAUAACUCCAGCGAGUGCCAAGGGGCUAGUGAGGAACGGCUUCACGAGG